UUACGACCAUUUUAAGUUGAAACCCUGGUCUCCGUACGAUCGUUGAAGUUAAGCAAUGUCGGGCCUGGUCCGUACCUGGAUGAUUGACCGCUUGGAAAUACCAGGUUGCUGUAAG